rnacentral:rRNA from 1 species
UACGUAGGGGCCGAGCGUUGUCCGGAUUCAUUGGGCGUAAAGAGCGUGUAGGCGGCCGCUUAAGUCCUGCGUGAAAUCUCGGAGCUCAACUCCGAGCGGUCGUGGGAAACUGGGCGGCUAGAGUGCGGGAGAGGAGAGUGAAAUUCCUGGUGUAGCGGUGGAAUGCGCAGAUAUCAGGAAGAACACCCGUGGCGAAGGCGGCUCUCUGGGACGGUACUGACGCUGAGACGCGAAAGCGUGGGGAGCGAACAGG